AAUCAACGCUGGCGGCGUGCCUAACACAUGCAAGUCGCACGAGAAAGGGGCUUCGGCCCUGAGUAAAGUGGCGCACGGGUGAGUAACACGUGACUAACCUACCCUCGAGUGGGGAAUAACCUAGAGAAAUCUGGGCUAAUACCGCAUAACACUUACGAGUCAAAGCAGCAAUGCGCUUGGGGAGGGGGUCGCGGCAGAUUAGCUAGUUGGCGGGGUAAUGGCCCACCAAGGCGAUGAUCUGUAUCCGGCCUGAGAGGGCGCACGGACACACUGGAACUGAAACACGGUCCAGACUCCUACGGGAGGCAGCAGUGGGGAAUUUUGCGCAAUGGGGGAAACCCUGACGCAGCAACGCCGCGUGGAGGAUGAAAUCCCUUGGGAUGUAAACUCCUUUCGAUAGGGAAGAUAAUGACGGUACCUAUAGAAGAAGCCCCGGCUAACUUCGUGCCAGCAGCCGCGGUAAUACGAGGGGGGCAAGCGUUGUUCGGAAUUAUUGGGCGUAAAGGGCGCGUAGGCGGUUUGACAAGUCUUAUGUGAAAUCUCUGGGCUCAACCCAGAGUCUGCAUGGGAAACUGUCGGGCUUGAGUAUGGGAGAGGUGAGUGGAAUUUCCGGUGUAGCGGUGAAAUGCGUAGAUAUCGGAAGGAACACCUGUGGCGAAAGCGGCUCACUGGACCAUAACUGACGCUGAGGCGCGAAAGCUAGGGGAGCAAACAGGAUUAGAUACCCUGGUAGUCCUAGCCCUAAACGAUGAUUGCUUGAUGUGGCAGGUACCCAAUCCUGCCGUGUCGAAGCUAACGCGAUAAGCAAUCCGCCUGGGGGAGUACGGUCGCAAGGCUGAAACUCAAGGGAAUUGACGGGGGCCCGCACAAGCGGUGGAGCAUGUGGUUUA
rnacentral:rRNA from 1 species